rnacentral:rRNA from 1 species
UACGGGGGGGGCAAGCGUUGUUCGGAAUUACUGGGCGUAAAGGGCUCGUAGGCGGCCAACUAAGUCAGACGUGAAAUCCCUCGGCUUAACCGGGGAACUGCGUCUGAUACUGGAUGGCCUGAGUUUGGGAGAGGGACGCGGAAUUCCAGGUGUAGCGGUGAAAUGCGUAGAUAUCGGGAGGAACACCAAUGGCGAAGGCAGCUCGCUGGGACGGUACUGACGCUGAGACGCGAAAGCGUGGGGAGCAAACAGG